GAAAUGCGAUACGUAAUGUGAAUUGCAACUUUCGUGAAUCAUCUAAUCUUUGAACGCAUCUUGCACUUUCUGGUAUCCCGGAAAGUAUGCCUGUUUGAGAAUCAUUAUCACUUAUCAAACCAAGUUUGGUUUGGAUUUGAGUUUUUUUCUGUUCAAGAAAAUGACUUUGAAUAAAGUGUUGAUGAUAUAGUUAUAAUGACUUGUUGGCAUUAUUCAUAAGAAUUCAUUAAGACUAUGGUCUUUUGAAAUUUCUUUUAAUAGCCAGCUUUACUAUAGUCAUUUCUAUUAACUCAACUCAACCAUUACAUCAAUUGUGAUUUUUAUCAUGAUUGAAAACUUUGGUCUCAAAUCAGGCAAGAGUACCCGCUGAACUUAA
rnacentral:misc_RNA from 1 species